rnacentral:rRNA from 1 species
ACGGGUGAGUAACACGUGGGCAACCUGCCCUUGAGACUGGGAUAACUUCGGGAAACCGGAGCUAAUACCGGAUAAUAUAAGGAACCUCCUGGUUCCUUGUUGAAAGAUGGUUUCGGCUAUCACUUAAGGAUGGGCCCGCGGCGCAUUAGCUAGUUGGUGAGGUAACGGCUCACCAAGGCGACGAUGCGUAGCCGACCUGAGAGGGUGAUCGGCCACACUGGGACUGAGACACGGCCCAGACUCCUACGGGAGGCAGCAGUAGGGAAUCUUCCACAAUGGACGAAAGUCUGAUGGAGCAACGCCGCGUGAGUGAUGAAGGCCUUCGGGUCGUAAAGCUCUGUUGUUAGGGAAGAACAAGUGCGAGAGUAACUGCUCGCACCUUGACGGUACCUAACCAGAAAGCCACGGCUAACUACGUGCCAGCAGCCGCGGUAAUACGUAGGUGGCAAGCGUUAUCCGGAAUUAUUGGGCGUAAAGCGCGCGCAGGUGGUUUCUUAAGUCUGAUGUGAAAGCCCACGGCUCAACCGUGGAGGGUCAUUGGAAACUGGGGAACUUGAGUGCAGAAGAGGAAAGUGGAAUUCCAAGUGUAGCGGU